UUUUUGAUUUAAUUAAUUUAAAGUCUAAUCUGCCCACUGAUUUAUUGAUUAAAGGGCUGCAGUAAUUUGACUGUACAAAGGUAGCAUAAUCAUUAGUCUUUUAAUUGGAGACUUGUAUGAAAGAUUUGAUGAAAUAUAAACUGUCUCUAAUUUAUUAUUAUUAGAAUUUAAUUUUUUAGUUAAAAAGCUAAAAUAAAUUUAAAAGACGAGAAGACCCUAUAGAGUUUAAUAGUUUUUAAUUUAAAAUAUUUAUAUAAAAUUUUAAUAUUUAAUUUUAUAAAUUAUUUUGUUGGGGUGAUAAAAAAAUAAAAAAAACUUUUUUUUUAAAUUUUCAUAGAUAAGUGAAUAAUUGAUCCAUUUUAAUGAUUAUAAGAAAAAAUUACCUUAGGGAUAACAGCGUAAUAUUUUUUUUUAGUACAAAUAAAAAAAAAAGUUUGCGACCUCGAUGUUGGAUUAAGAUAAAAUUUAAAUGCAAAAGUUUAAAAUUUUGAUCUGUUCGAUCAUUAAAAUCUUACAUGAUCU
rnacentral:rRNA from 1 species